rnacentral:rRNA from 1 species
GAUUUCUUCGGAAUGAAAAUAAGUGGAUUAGUGGCGAACGGGUGAGUAACACGUGAGUAACCUGCCUUACACAAGGGGAUAGCCUUUGGAAACGAAGAAUAAUACCCUAUGACGUCAAUUUAUCGCAUGAUAGAAUGACCAAAGAUUUAUCGGUGUAAGAUGGACUUGCGUCUGAUUAGCUAGUUGGUGAGAUAAAAGCCCACCAAGGCGACGAUCAGUAGCCGGCUUGAGAGAGUGUACGGCCACAUUGGGACUGAGACACGGCCCAAACUCCUACGGGAGGCAGCAGUGGGGAAUUUUGCACAAUGGGGGAAACCCUGAUGCAGCGACGCCGCGUGAUUUAGAAGGCCUUCGGGUUGUAAAAAUCUUUUUUAUGGGAUGAAAAUGACAGUACCAUAAGAAUAAGGUCCGGCUAAAUACGUGCCAGCAGCCGCGGUAAUACGUAUGGACCGAGCGUUGUCCGGAAUCAUUGGGCGUAAAGGGUACGUAGGCGGCCUAGUAAGUUAGAAGUGAAAUAAUAUAGCUCAACUAUAUAAAGCUUUUAAAACUGUUAGGCUUGAGAGAUGAAAGGGAAAGUGGAAUUCCUAGUGUAGCGGUGAAAUGCGCAGAUAUUAGGAAGAAUACCGGUGGCGAAGGCGACUUUCUGGU